GGAGGCAGCAGUGGGGAAUAUUGGACAAUGGGCGCAAGCCUGAUCCAGCCAUGCCGCGUGUGUGAAGAAGGCUUUCGGGUUGUAAAGCACUUUCAGUGGGGAGGAAAUGGCGACGGUUAAUACCCGUUGCAGUUGACGCUACCCACAGAAGAAGCACCGGCUAACUCCGUGCCAGCAGCCGCGGUAAUACGGAGGGUGCAAGCGUUAAUCGGAAUUACUGGGCGUAAAGCGCGCGUAGGCGGCUUAAUCAGUCGGGUGUGAAAGCCCCGGGCUCAACCUGGGAACUGCAUUCGAUACUGUUUGGCUGGAGUAUGGGAGAGGGCAGUGGAAUUCCACGUGUAGCGGUGAAAUGCGUAGAUAUGUGGAGGAACACCAGUGGCGAAGGCGACUGCCUGGCCCAAUACUGACGCUGAGGUGCGAAAGCGUGGGGAUCAAACAGGAUUAGAUACCCUGGUCGUCCACGCCGUAAACGAUGUCAACUAGCCGUUGGGGGACUUGAUCCUUUAGUGGCGCAGCUAACGCGAUAAGU
rnacentral:rRNA from 1 species